UGCGCUCCGGUUUAAUAAAAAGUGAUCGCGGAACUCGCGUGUGUGUAAGUGCGUUUGUGUUUGGAGGAGAGACGCCGGCCAAGGAGUCCCCAACGCAAAGAACCGUUAACUGAAAACAGAAAAUAACAUGAGAAUGUGGAGAAAAGAAAAGAAAGAAAAUAAAUAUGUAAUUCAUCUAAUGGAAGUACAGUCAUAACGAUUACCGCAGAAAAUUGAGGCCAGCAGAAAAUCAAAGCCUAAAAUAAAAAUGGAAGGACUCACAACCAGCCUAGAUGACAUCUCGGAACAAAUGGAACAAUUUGGAAGCCCAAACUACAAAUGGAAAGACUGACAACCAGCCUGGACUACGUCUAGGAUCAAAUGGAACAAUUUGGAAGCCGGCGGGGACGAAGACAACUGACCCAAGAAGAUGCCACAAAAAUAAGGGCACUGACUAAAAAUGCUGACCAUGCCACAUGUGGCGGGUCCUUUUUUGAAAUUCCACGUCCACAACGCUUCACUUUUUGCCUCACGCCGUGAAUAUGUUUUCAAUGAAAGGAAAUAUUCGGAAUUAUGCUCCGUGCCAGAUUCAGAUUUGGCAAUUUUGAUACAGAAUGAUGGGAAAUUCUUCUACGAAGCAUUUGAGGUGCUCCACCACGGAAUCGAGCACCUUUUGACGGAGAUAUAGGCAUUGCUGGCCCUGAACUGAUACAUGAACUUAUCCAACUUAUACAUUUCUGGUGACAGGAUAGCCGGAUGCAGAACAACUAUUAUAAUGGAUCAACGCUUUAACCCCGUAAAAUCAUCCCUCACAAGGCAAGGAAAUCCUUACCUAUCGGCCGUCGAAUUUGCAAUCGGAGAACCAACGGGACCGCUGAUAGACUUGGAACAUUAUUUAGCGUUUAAGACAAUUUUAAGCAUAUCCCUCAAAAUUUCCCUGAUCUCCAAUACUUCGGAUAUACGCGUUUCAGACGAUUCUAAAAAUUUCCCUCAAAAUUUCCCUGAUCUCCAAUACUUCGGAUAUACGCGUUUCAGACGAUUCUAAUAAAAU
rnacentral:sRNA from 1 species